UACGUAGGAUGCAAGCGUUGUCCGGAAUUACUGGGCGUAAAGCGCGCGUAGGCGGCGCGCUGCGUCGGCGGUGAAAGCUCCCGGCUCACCUGGGAGAGGGCCGCCGAAACGAGCGUGCUGGAGGGCGGUAGGGGCUGGCGGAACGCCCGGAGUAGCGGUGAAAUGCGUUGAGAUCGGGCAGAACACCAGUGGCGAAGGCGGCCAGCUAGGCCGACCCUGACGCUGAGGCGCGAAAGCCAGGGGAG
rnacentral:rRNA from 1 species